rnacentral:rRNA from 1 species
CGGACGGGUGAGUAACACGUGGAUAACCUACCUAUAAGACUGGGAUAACUUCGGGGAAACCGGAGCUAAUACCGGAUAAUAUAUUGAACCGCAUGGUUCAAUAGUGAAAGACGGUUUUGCUGUCACUUAUAGAUGGAUCCGCGCCGCAUUAGCUAGUUGGUAAGGUAACGGCUUACCAAGGCAACGAUGCGUAGCCGACCUGAGAGGGUGAUCGGCCACACUGGAACUGAGACACGGUCCAGACUCCUACGGGAGGCAGCAGCU